UACAUGGGGUGCAAACGUUGCUCGGAAUCAUUGGGCGUAAAGCGCGCGUAGGCGGUUUGUUGCGUCGGCUGUGAAAUCCCGAGGCUCAACCUCGGGUCUGCAGUCGAUACGAGCAAACUAGAGUGUUGCAGGGGAGACUGGAAUUCCUGGUGUAGCGGUGAAAUGCGCAGAUAUCAGGAGGAACACCGGUGGCGAAGGCGGGUCUCUGGGCAACAACUGACGCUGAGGAGCGAAAGCGUGGGGAGCGAACAGG
rnacentral:rRNA from 1 species